UUUUGGAUUUACUUGUGGAUUUACUUGUGGAUUUUCUUUGGGAUAUAACUUCAAGAAGAAGUGGAAACUUUGUGUACUUUUCAUGUGGAUAUAUGGUGUAUCUUAGACGCGGAAACAUUGUGUUGUUUCAAGUGAGACUUUGAGAGGAACUGUGCAAGAAGAAUGAAUACUUUUGAAAUUGUUGGAAGAAAUGUGUGUUUGAACUGUGGGGUUGGGGAAUUAGGAAUUGUUUUGUGUUGUGUUUCUCAUUUUGAUUUUUAAAUUAUAUUAUAUUUUUAAAAUUUAAAUUGUUGUCUAUGUUUUGAUUUGAUUUAAUUUCCUCAUCUGAAAGGCACUGCAGAGUGCAGGUGACAGAGAGGGAAGAAGAAUAUGAAAAAAGGAUCAUAUAUCGACAACGACAACGACGUGGCUCUAACUCAGGAGUGGUUCUCAAACCGGCGGGCGAAGUGACUGCAGGAAAACAAGAGAAACCCUCUCUCCUCCAAGCUAAAGAUUGUAGCAGUGGCAGCGGCAGUGUCAGUUAUAAUACUGAUUGCUGCUGUCCUGCUACAAAUAGAAUGGUAGGCAUAUAGUUCUCGUCUUUAUCAGUCAUCCUGACAACUGUCUUGCUAAUCUCUUUGUCUACAUAUUGAUGUUGGGGAAAUUUCCGAACUGAUUGUUUGCUUUAAAGAACUCUGCCUAAGCCCCCAACUACUAGACUUUUCAUGUAGACAUUGCUUAAUACAGCAAAUCUUACUGCAAGCAUCUCAGUGUGGUUCACUUUAUUAGGUGUGUCUAUUAUUAUUUUACAAACACACCUGAUGGGAAAUCCCCGUAAUGACACUUCACUACAUCCACGAGUUCAUCAUAACCAGCAAGGCAAGCUUUUCUGGCUCACUAGCCACACAGGCCUUGCAGCUUCAACUUGUCAGAAAUACUGACAAACAUAUAUUGAGUAAGUAGGAGCAAAUUAUUGUUGUAUCUUUUUCAAUUGAAAAUAAGUAGCUUGUCAAAAAGGCAUCCCCAUGGCCCAUGUCGUUUCAUAAGUUACAACUCCUGUUGUUUGUGGUCUGCCCGGUAGACAAUAUUAGGAGACAACAGAAAAAUGAAGUUAUGGAGUUUAAGCGAGGUGAUCGAUGAUUAAAAUAGUCAUCUCUUAAAAAUAAAAAAGAGAGAAUGACUGAAUGACUAACUGGCAUCAUUUCAGGAUGCAAGACGUCAUAAAUGCAUUCAGAAGACAAGCUCAAGCUCUGGCCACAUGGAGCUACAUAAUGUAUGUUAUGAGUUAGAAAAUAGAUAUUGAUGUUUAAAUCAUGUUUGAUCAAAAUUUCGGACUACGAAACGAAUUUUUUCUUUGCAAACGCAUCUACAGCACAGCUUCGUGGCGACUCAUGCAGGAUCCCAUUUGACUCGUUGACAGGUGUUAACAGCUAUAACGGGAUGAAUCUUUUAUCACGUGUUCACAGACCUGACAAAGACGCAGAGCAGCAACUCGCGUCGUGUGGGCUCGGCAGAGCGCACGUGGCUAAUUAGCAUGCACGAUCGUGCUUGAAAGCUUUUAAUCGGUCACAAGUGGAUGAACACAUGAGAGGGGAAACACGCAUACCCAAAGAGAAAUGGUGCCCCUUCUUACCAUGCAUGACAAAAGUGCGCAUGCGUGUGACUGAACGAGUGUCUUUAAGUGUAAGUGGCAUCUAAUUACAUCUCAUUCAUCGACACACACAUUCUGACGGCUUGUCUGCCCCUGCUUGUUGCAGAAAACACCACUCCCGACGACAACAUGGAGCCUCAUCUCAUCCAGCGGACAAGGUAUCGCGGCUAUCAGCUGAAGCUGCUGGAGGGCGAGUUCUCUCGGAACACCCGCACCUCGUGGGAUGUCAUAGAAGAACUCGCCCGAGAGACGGGGCUAACGGAAGACCAAGUGCGGGUAAGCACAGUAAACCGGUUAAAAGACUAGUCCACUAGUUGUUAAGUAAACAGCCCUGACUUCAGUCUUGUUGACCUCCUUCUAUGCAUGAUGAAUAUAUGUGUUAAUCAUAUAUCGACAACGACAACGACGACGACUAUUGCGAACGACUCAAAGAGACACCUGUUAACAAUGUGCGCUGUGUUUCUACUUUCCUGGAGUGGUUUAAAAAUCAGAGAAGAAAGUUGAAGCAGGCGCCUUCCCUCCAAUCAUCAGCAUCACCAUCAGCAUCACCAUCAGCACGAUCAUCGUCAGCAUCAUCAUUACCACAUACAGCGCAUGCGUCGUCGUCAUCAUCAUCAAACAACGACGAUACACCUCCAGUAUUCAUCAUCAAUCAGAGAAAUUAUAGAAUCCUCUAUCAGACAUUAAUAUAUCACCAAUCAACAAACAUGAUCAUUAUCCUCAUCGUCGUCGUUGGCGGCGGCGGCGGCGGCGGCGGCGUCGUCUUCAUCAUCAUCAAUUAUCAGAAUUCACGAUCAACCAUCAUCGCAAAUUAUCAAUCAGCAUCAUCAUCAUCAUCAUGCAUGAUACCAGUGUCUCGUCAAUGCCUCGGGACAAGAGCAUGCCAGGAGGCAAGAAAUAUUGAACACCAUAUUUCGGCUUCUGACUGAUCUUGUGGUUCAGAUAGAACAACUGCUAGAAGAAGGAAAAGAGAGGGUGAAUGGACAACAAUCAGUCGCGACAAAUAUUGGAACGAAUGGCGGCUCAUUUGGGGGUUCCGUUGCCCCCUCAACUUGCCCCGCCACUUCUCCAGUUGGCAGAACCACGUGAGUACUUUAACAGGCCAGGUUCAUUAUUGUUAGGUUAAGCAUUCUCUCUCUCUCUCACACACACACAGAGGUACCUAAAUGCCCAUCGCUUACGAGUUGCUGUCAACUCUGCUAAUGAAGUCAAACUCUAAAAGACUCUAGACCUUUCUAGUUUGUGCCUUGAGGUCACUGUCAUGAAUCUUGCCUUUGCUCUGAGUAGAGUUUUCUAGAAGGGAAAAUUAGGAACCGUAGACUUGUUCACUCAAUAAUGAGAGUUGCUGUCUCAAAAGUAGCAGCUCGCCAGUUCACAUCCGCGGUUUCCACGAUUAAAAUGCAACAAAGACAGUUCUUGCUUUUACCACCUGUGGCUAUCGCCCCUGUUGGCCUCGCAGAAAGACAGAAAAGCAGGUUAGACGUCUUUCUAUCAUCAAGUAAUCGUCAAGUUCCGCUUCUUUCUUUGUGGGAAGUAGUAAUUACAUUUCUCUCCUGAUUGUGUGAGGGAUUAGGAGUGAAUAUUUUGUUCUUUUUAGGAUCACUUUUCUGCCCUUAUGAUUUUAAGAAAACUUUGGGCUGAUUGGUAUAUGUAUUGUACCACUAGUAUUGUUUGACCUUAUUUAUGUAUGACAACAUAUUUUCCCUAAAACUGAUUUGUUUCCAUACGCUUCAUUAUAACACAGGGGAGAACUCCCACGCAUUUUUGUGGAUUCUGGGCAUUAAUUUUUUGUUAAAAAUUGUUUGCAAUAAGUCUUAUUUUAUGACAAUGUACAUUAUUAUUUUUCUUAUUAUUAUUAUUGGUGAUUAUUCUGAAUUUCUUUAUCAGAAACCCUCAUAAAGCCAGUAACUAAGGCUCUAACGUCAUAGAGGAACCAAUUGUGUAAAUAGUUGAAGCAUGCAGAAAAUGAAAACAGCAUGCCUGGGUAGUCUUUAAUUCUUUAAGUGGCGUUUUAUUACAUCUUAUUCAUCGACACACACAUUCUGACGGCUUGUCUGCCCCUGCUUGUUGUAGAAAACGACACCACCACUCCCGACGACAACACGCAGCCUCGUCGAGCCCCGCGGGCAAGACUGCUCGAUGAGCAGCUGAUACUGCUGGAGAUGGAGUUACAGCAAAACCAACACCCCUCAGCGGCUGUCCGCGAGGAGAUCGCCACAU